GACGAACGCUGGCGGCGUGCUUAACACAUGCAAGUCGAACGGAAAGGCCCUGCUUUUGUGGGGUGCUCGAGUGGCGAACGGGUGAGUAACACGUGAGUAACCUUCCCUUGACUUUGGGAUAACUUCAGGAAACUGGGGCUAAUACCGGAUAGGAGCUCCUGCUGCAUGGUGGGGGUUGGAAAGUUUCGGCGGUUGGGGAUGGACUCGCGGCUUAUCAGCUUGUUGGUGGGGUAGUGGCUUACCAAGGCUUUGACGGGUAGCCGGCCUGAGCGGGUGACCGGCAACAUUGGGACUGAGAUACGCCCAAGACUCCUACGGGAGGCAGCAGUGGGGAAUAUUGCACAAUGGGCGGAAGCCUGAUGCAGCAACGCCGCGUGCGGGAUGACGGCCUUCGGGUUGUAAACCGCUUUCGCCUGUGACGAAGCGUGAGUGACGGUAAUGGGUAAAGAAGCACCGGCUAACUACGUG
rnacentral:rRNA from 1 species